GGCGGAACAAAGUACCUUCGAGUGUGAACCUGACAACUUGGUACAUUUGUUGCUGACCU
ensembl:miRNA gmo-mir-11211 gmo-mir-11211